rnacentral:rRNA from 1 species
CGCGUAGGCGGCCAUUCAAGUCGGGGGUGAAAGCCCAGGGCUCAACCCCUGGAAUUGCCUUCGAUACUGUUUGGCUAGAGACCGGAAGAGGUAAGUGGAACUGCGAGCGUAGAGGUGAAAUUCGUAGAUAUUCGCAAGAACACCAGUGGCGAAGGCGGCUUACUGGUCCGGUUCUGACGCUGAGGCGCGAAAGCGUGGGGAGCAAACA